rnacentral:rRNA from 1 species
ACGGAAUAGAUACCCAGGUAGUCCAUGCCGUAAACUAUGGAUACUAGCUGUUGGGGGUAUCGACCCCUCCAGUAGCGAAAGCUAAACGCGUUAAGUAUCCCGCCUGUGGAGUACGAUCGCAAGAUUAAAACAUAAAGGAAUUGACGGGGACCCGCACAAGCGGUGGAGCGUGUUCUUUAAAUUCGAUGCUAAACGAAGAACCUUACCAGGGCUUGACAUCCCUUGAAUUACUCCGAAAGGAGUGAGUGCUUUAUUGAGCAAGGUGACAGGUGAUGCAUGGCCGUCGUCAGCUCGUGUCGUGAGAUGUUUGGUUAAGUCCAUCAACGAGCGCAACCCUUAUACUUAGUUGUAUUUUUCUAGGUAGACUGCCCCGGUAACGGGG